GCUGUAGCCAAGUCGGUUAAGGCACCAGAUUUUGAUUCUGGCAUUCCGUAGGUUCGAAUCCUGCCAGC
rnacentral:tRNA from 1 species